rnacentral:lncRNA from 1 species
CCCCUACUACUCCACUGAUUCUCAUCCAGGCACCUCAACUUGAUCAAAGUAAGUCUUCUAAAUGCCUCUAAUGAAUGUGUGUUCCUCACUUGCUCUGAAGUGGACGACAUAUUAAAUCCACCUCACUCGCCACAUUAAAAUAAGAUAAAAAAGUGGAAAAAAGGUCAAAGUUUUAAAAAUGAUUCUAAAAAAGAAAAUAUCCACUCCACUUCUCAUUUUCUCUCUUUCUC